UGACUUAUGAAUAUGUAAUGGUAAAAAAAUAUCUAUAAAACUAAUUUGAAUUAAGCAAUCUUUGUAUCUUUAAUUCUUUUUAGAAGUUUCUUUGGUAUCUUUCUGGAAUCAAGUGUAUAAUAGUAAGACUGUAAGAGGCGUGUACUUGUGAACGGAUACUGGUUUGGUGUGCUUUUAGUUGGUGAAUCCUGCUAUCAUCUUUGUUUCUUUAAGUGUGUAGGGAUUCAGUUUGCUAUGAAUUGAUAUUAUGAGUCUAAGUAUCAACAAAAUUUGAAACCUAGUUUCCUUGCAUUAGCCGCGGAUAUGUAUUAGAUGUAGUAUGAUAAUUUCCGAUCGGACGCUAAUUAUUUGUUGGUCAUUGCUGGAUCUUUUAAGUGUCACAAAGUGUAUGUACUAUACCAUUACUUCCAUGAUAUGUUAUUCCAACUUCAGUAGUUUAACGGAAUCUGUCAUAAUGUAAAACUGUGUAAUCUGUAACUCACUUCUUUAAAACUUCUCUUAAUUGGGUCUAGUAAUAUUGGUUGGUUGCGAUGUUGGGCCAUUUAAUGUAGUUCUUGCAGCUGCACAAAGUUUCUAAAGAUAUAGCAGUGAUGUUACGUUGGUAUAACUUCAAUUCUAGGAUAAAAUGGGUGAUAUAGCUUGAUGGAUAGGUAUUCAUGUCAAGGCCCCUGUUGAGAUUUUUGUUUAUGGUAUAUGCCAUUUCAAGCUUUAACUCUUGAUUUUUGUUUAUGGUUUCUUGAAUGAUAUGAUUAUGGAAGACUUAGCUGUUGUGGGUGUAAUCCUGGUUCGAUUGGGGUUGUUGUCGGCCAUUUCACGUAGCUCUGGAAGCUGCAGAAAGCUGCUAAAGAGAUGACAGUGAUGUUAGCUAGGUAGAACUUCAGGUCUAUGACAAAAUGGGUGUAUAGCUUGGCAGAUAGGGGAUGUAUGAUCCAUGGAGGAGACGUAAGUAUGAGUUACGAAAAGCCUAUUAUGAUCCAUAUGAUACACAUGAAGAAAGGAUGAUACAUGUUGUGAAGUGCCAGUAGCCACCCGUGGAAAAUCAAUUCCUGGUAAUGCUGUUGGUGACCUUCCUCUGGUAAGUUUAUGUUGGAUAUAAUGUGCAGUCUUUGGAACACAUGAUGGAUAUCAAACUAGCUACACAUACACACAUGCGAAGGUGCCAGAGUGAACCAAAAAAGGCUAUGCAGGUCACAUUCUGAAUGGCUUAUAAUCAUCAUUUAAGUCCUGUAUGAGUGGGAACUUGCAGGAUUUGGAUUCUGAUCGGUCACCUGACAUCCUUCGAUCACAUAAGUCUCGAAUUUUGAAGGUAUCAGACCAGAUGUGGAAGCUAAUAAAAGAUAUCGCCUAGAAAGGGGGAAGAAAUGGUUAAGUUGCCUCUGUGUAUUGCAAACAUGGUAUGUCAGAAAGAAUCUCAAUUAUCCUUGGAACAGAAGCAGGUUAGUGUCAGAUCUGAAGUCUGUAGAUUGCAAUUUUGCAGAUCUAUAAGAGUGAGUAAUUCAAAGUGAAACCAUUGAGAUGCUUAUGCUUAAGUGACAAAUGUCGUCGAAAAUGAAUUGAUAUCAGGUGCUUCAUUCAGGUUACAAACAUGUAUCUCUUCUUGAAAUCUAGGUUGUCCCUUGACGCAGAAAAUUGUAUCUUAUACACUCACUAUGCUUCUGAAACUAAGUUAGAAUCUUUGUGUAAUCUAGAGAAAACUAAGUUGUUCCCUUAUUUUUUCUUUCAUGUAUGAUUCACAUAUCAUUAUCAAUAUGAGUGGUGCAGAAUGUGAUUGGCUUGA